rnacentral:other from 1 species
ACUCCCCUGCUGUGUUUGUGAUCGGAGAGUGUACUUAGAACCAAUACUAAGUUAAAGGGCGCUGGCUCUGGGUGGUUGACGGCAUGUCUCUGGCCUACAUCCUGGGAGAAAGUCGAAGAUAUCUAUUCUGGUGCCCACAUAAUCGAACCAAGGUUCGAGGAGCUUUUCGACACGACAUCGCGGGGGUAGA